rnacentral:rRNA from 1 species
UACGGGGGGGCAAGCGUUGUUCGGAAUUACUGGGCGUAAAGGGCUCGUAGGUGGCCAACUAAGUCUGACGUGAAAUCCCUCGGCUUAACCGGGGAACUGCGUCCGAUACUGGUUGGCUUGAGUUUGGGAGAGGGAUGCGGAAUUCCAGGUGGUAGCGGUGAAAUGCGUAGAUAUCUGGAGGAACACCGGUGGCGAAGGCGGCAUCCUGGACCAAU